UACGAAGGGGGCUAGCGUUGCUCGGAAUCACUGGGCGUAAAGGGCGCGUAGGCGGCCGAUCAAGUCGGGGGUGAAAGCCUGUGGCUCAACCACAGAAUUGCCUUCGAUACUGGUUGGCUUGAGACCGGAAGAGGUAAGUGGAACUGCGAGUGUAGAGGUGAAAUUCGUAGAUAUUCGCAAGAACACCAGUGGCGAAGGCGGCUUACUGGUCCGGUUCUGACGCUGAGGCGCGAAAGCGUGGGGAGCAAACAGG
rnacentral:rRNA from 1 species